rnacentral:rRNA from 1 species
UACAGAGGGUGCGAGCGUUAAUCGGAAUUACUGGGCGUAAAGCGCGCGUAGGCGGCUUUGCAAGUCGGGUGUGAAAUCCCCAGGCUUAACCUGGGAACUGCAUUCGAGACUGCAUUGCUAGAGUAUGGGAGAGGGAAGUGGAAUUUCCGGUGUAGCGGUGAAAUGCGUAGAUAUCAGGAGGAACACCGGUGGCGAAGGCGCACAUCUGGCCCGAUACUGACGCUGAGGCGCGAAAGCGUGGGGAGCGAACAGG